rnacentral:lncRNA from 1 species
ACUAUCGAGGAAGCUUAUUUAGAUCGCUCGUAAGAAUAAUUUGGUGGUGGUGGUGGUGUUUUUCGUAGUCGACGUUGUUGUUCUUUGUGGGUUUUCAUUUUAUUUGAAUUUUUAUUGGACAAAGAAAGAAGUUGUAGCAAGAUGAUGCUCAGGAUUAAGAGGGUUCCGACUGUUGUUUCGAAUUACCAGAAGGAUGAGACGGAAGAGACUGCUCGCCGCAGCAGUGGGUGUGGAAAGAAUUGCCUUAGAAGCUGCUGCAUCCCAGGUGUUCGUUAAAUUUACUUUGUAACCUUGUUUGUUUGAAUAGAUUGUGUGUGUGUUUUGUAGAGAUGAAGUUUAACUGGAACUGGGUUUUGGUUUAUAGGAGCAAAGCUUCCUUUAUAUGCUUUCAGGAAACUGAACAAUAUUGAGAGUGAAAAAGUUGUGCUUGGAAUUGAGAAUAAAGAUCCCCCUGUUGCUUUUCUUGACUCGCUCAUUCUUGGGGAGGUAAAAGUUUUCUAUUAAGCUUGUCUUGAUUACGAUUAAGAUCAUUUUCAUGGCUGAUGAUUGUUAAUAUGGUUUUAUGGUAGUGGGAAGAUCGGAUGCAAAGAGGGCUCUUUCGCUAUGAUGUUACUGCCUGUGAAACCAAGGUCUCGUUUGGCCCCUUUUCUAUUCCCUUGCUUCAAUUGUUUACCUGCAAACAAGCAGAAAUUUUAUGGUUAAUUGAGUUGUUAGUACCAUCAAAGUAUCGUACGUUUAUCAUUGUUUAGGUGAUUCCUGGUGAAUAUGGCUUCAUUGCCCAGCUGAAUGAGGGUCGCCACCUUAAGAAGAGGCCAACUGAGUUCCGUGUUGAUAAGGUUCUCCAGCCCUUCG